UGUGAGCUCGAUGAGUAGGGCGGGACACGUGGUAUCCUGUCUGAAUAUGGGGGGACCAUCCUCCAAGGCUAAAUACUCCUGACUGACCGAUAGUGAACCAGUACCGUGAGGGAAAGGCGAAAAGAACCCCGGCGAGGGGAGUGAAAAAGAACCUGAAACCGUGUACGUACAAGCAGUGGGAGCACGCUUAGGCGUGUGACUGCGUACCUUUUGUAUAAUGGGUCAGCGACUUAUAUUCUGUAGCAAGGUUAACCGAAUAGGGGAGCCGAAGGGAAACCGAGUCUUAACUGGGCGUUAAGUUGCAGGGUAUAGACCCGAAACCCGGUGAUCUAGCCAUGGGCAGGUUGAAGGUUGGGUAACACUAACUGGAGGACCGAACCGACUAAUGUUGAAAAAUUAGCGGAUGACUUGUGGCUGGGGGUGAAAGGCCAAUCAAACCGGGAGAUAGCUGGUUCUCCCCGAAAGCUAUUUAGGUAGCGCCUCGUGAAUUCAUCUCCGGGGGUAGAGCACUGUUUCGGCAAGGGGGUCAUCCCGACUUACCAACCCGAUGCAAACUGCGAAUACCGGAGAAUGUUAUCACGGGAGACACACGGCGGGUGCUAACGUCCGUCGUGAAGAGGGAAACAACCCAGACCGCCAGCUAAGGUCCCAAAGUCAUGGUUAAGUGGGAAACGAUGUGGGAAGGCCCAGACAGCCAGGAUGUUGGCUUAGAAGCAGCCAUCAUUUAAAGAAAGCGUAAUAGCUCACUGGUCGAGUCGGCCUGCGCGGAAGAUGUAACGGGGCUAAACCAUGCACCGAAGCUGCGGCAGCGACGCUUAUGCGUUGUUGGGUAGGGGAGCGUUCUGUAAGCCUGUGAAGGUGUGCUGUGAGGCAUGCUGGAGGUAUCAGAAGUGCGAAUGCUGACAUAAGUAACGAUAAAGCGGGUGAAAAGCCCGCUCGCCGGAAGACCAAGGGUUCCUGUCCAACGUUAAUCGGGGCAGGGUGAGUCGACCCCUAAGGCGAGGCCGAAAGGCGUAGUCGAUGGGAAACAGGUUAAUAUUCCUGUACUUGGUGUUACUGCGAAGGGGGGACGGAGAAGGCUAUGUUGGCCGGGCGACGGUUGUCCCGGUUUAAGCGUGUAGGCUGGUUUUCCAGGCAAAUCCGGAAAAUCAAGGCUGAGGCGUGAUGACGAGGCACUACGGUGCUGAAGCAACAAAUGCCCUGCUUCCAGGAAAAGCCUCUAAGCAUCAGGUAACAUCAAAUCGUACCCCAAACCGACACAGGUGGUCAGGUAGAGAAUACCAAGGCGCUUGAGAGAACUCGGGUGAAGGAACUAGGCAAAAUGGUGCCGUAACUUCGGGAGAAGGCACGCUGAUAUGUAGGUGAAGUCCCUCGCGGAUGGAGCUGAAAUCAGUCGAAGAUACCAGCUGGCUGCAACUGUUUAUUAAAAACACAGCACUGUGCAAACACGAAAGUGGACGUAUACGGUGUGACGCCUGCCCGGUGCCGGAAGGUUAAUUGAUGGGGUCAGCGCAAGCGAAGCUCUUGAUCGAAGCCCCGGUAAACGGCGGCCGUAACUAUAACGGUCCUAAGGUAGCGAAAUUCCUUGUCGGGUAAGUUCCGACCUGCACGAAUGGCGUAAUGAUGGCCAGGCUGUCUCCACCCGAGACUCAGUGAAAUUGAACUCGCUGUGAAGAUGCAGUGUACCCGCGGCAAGACGGAAAGACCCCGUGAACCUUUACUAUAGCUUGACACUGAACAUUGAGCCUUGAUGUGUAGGAUAGGUGGGAGGCUUAGAAGUGUGGACGCCAGUCUGCAUGGAGCCGACCUUGAAAUACCACCCUUUAAUGUUUGAUGUUCUAACGUUGACCCGUAAUCCGGGUUGCGGACAGUGUCUGGUGGGUAGUUUGACUGGGGCGGUCUCCUCCUAAAGAGUAACGGAGGAGCACGAAGGUUGGCUAAUCCUGGUCGGACAUCAGGAGGUUAGUGCAAUGGCAUAAGCCAGCUUGACUGCGAGCGUGACGGCGCGAGCAGGUGCGAAAGCAGGUCAUAGUGAUCCGGUGGUUCUGAAUGGAAGGGCCAUCGCUCAACGGAUAAAAGGUACUCCGGGGAUAACAGGCUGAUACCGCCCAAGAGUUCAUAUCGACGGCGGUGUUUGGCACCUCGAUGUCGGCUCAUCACAUCCUGGGGCUGAAGUAGGUCCCAAGGGUAUGGCUGUUCGCCAUUUAAAGUGGUACGCGAGCUGGGUUUAGAACGUCGUGAGACAGUUCGGUCCCUAUCUGCCGUGGGCGCUGGAGAACUGAGGGGGGCUGCUCCUAGUACGAGAGGACCGGAGUGGACGCAUCACUGGUGUUCGGGUUGUCAUGCCAAUGGCACUGCCCGGUAGCUAAAUGCGGAAGAGAUAAGUGCUGAAAGCAUCUAAGCACGAAACUUGCCCCGAGAUGAGUUCUCCCUGACUCCUUGAGAGUCCUGAAGGAACGUUGAAGACGACGACGUUGAUAGGCCGGGUGUGUAAGCGCAGCGAUGCGUUGAGCUAACCGGUACUAAUGAACCGUGAGGCUUAACCUUACAACGCCGAAGCUGUU
rnacentral:rRNA from 1 species